UUGCCCGAUGAUUAUAAAAAGACGCGAAAGAGGACUUGAAGCUGGAUCUUUUCCUUUUUUCUCUUCUACUACUUUCUUUUCUCUAGUUUCCCUUUUCUCUGCUUUUUCUCUUUUCUCUCCUUUCCCCCCUUUUCUCUGCUUCUUUUUCUCUUCUCUCCUUUCUCUUUUCUCUGCUUCUUUUUCUCUUUGGAUAUCCAGCGUCCGAUGAGCGAAGAUUAUGAGAUAUGAGGGCAA
rfam:Mesocricetus auratus contig097902, whole genome shotgun sequence.